CGUGUGCUUGUAUUUUCAUACUCAUAUUUUUAAUUAAUGUUGAGAUCAAAUAUGCUCAUCCCGUAAGAAAAGGUACAAAAGGUACUGCGCAGCAUAAAGUGCCCCAGAAGGAUUUGAAUUUGAAUAGUUCCAAAUUUCACGGAAUAUUGAACUACAUGCCUCCUCCUCCAAAUGAGGAACAUGUUGAUCCUAUAGAAACAUCUGGGCAAUUCGAAGGCGAUAUCUUACUUACUCCUUUUCAGGGGUUGAAUGCUAUUCGGAAUGAGAACCUUAAAUGGCCAGAAGGAAGAGUACCGUAUUCUAUUCCGUUUUUUUAUGGUAAGUU